AAAGAAAUCUAAUUGUUUUUUUUUUACGUAACAGAUCAUGUUAGCUAAACGAGACACCUCACAUCCAGCCUCAAAGCUUGGUGACACCUUGUUCUUAAGCCGGUGCUGUUGUGCCUGCCUUAACUGAAAUUAACAGUCGAACCUUGUUAUAGCAUUGCACACAGGCAAAUUAAAUUAUGGCUUAUGUACUGAAUCACCUAGAGAGAAAUUAACUGCUGGGGAUAAUUUCAAUUAAUUUGACCUGCACAUGUAUGAAUAUGAGGCAUAGGCAGUUCUAAAAAAUUUGGGAUUUAAAUAAAUUGUGAAAUAUUUGAAACAUUUGUGAGUGUAAAAUCUAAAUCUGGUUCCACGGUAUUGUAUUUGAACUUUUCAGAGGCAGCAAAGAACUUCCCUGAUGCCACCGACAUGAUGCUGCGAUCAUAUGCUGCUGAUUGGCAGUGUUGCACUCCAUCAAGGAUUCAGAGAAGCGUUGGAGUGCACUGGAGGAUGCCAGCUGUGCCGAGUAGUGUAUAGAAUAAAUCGGUUUUGGAGCAGAGCAUUCAGAAACAAUAAAGUGACUUUUUCCAUGCAA
rnacentral:lncRNA from 1 species